GGAGAACAGCUCCCAGCAGCCCACACAUGGUGACUGCGUGAGCGGCCUGUGGCCACCACAAUAGUUACCACAAAUUGGGUGGCAAAAGACAAGAGAAAUGUAUUCCCCCCAGUUCUGGGGGCCAGAAGUCUGAAGUCAAGUCAUCCGCAGAGCCCUGCUCCCUCUGAAGCCUCCAGCGGGGAUCCUUCCUGCCUCUUCCAACUCCUGGUGGCCCCAGGCAUUCCCUGGCUUGUGGAUGCAUCACUCCCAUCUCUGCUUCCGUUUUCAUGUGGCCUCUCCUCUAUGUGUGUCUGUGUCUUCUCUUCUGCUUCUUAUGAGGACACCUGUCAUCGGCUUUACAACCCACCGUAAGUUCAAGACGAUCUCAUCUCAAGAUCCUUAUCUUAAUUAUGUCUAUGAAGAUUCUAUUUCCAAAUAAGUUCAUAUUCGUGCGGUCUGGAAGAUUAGAAUGUGGACACAUCUUUUUCAGGGACACAAUUCACCCCACUGCAGUGACCACAGCCGGAUCAGACUCGUUCACCCACUUCAGUGACCACAGAUGGAUCAGACUCGUUCGCUCCCUGCAGUGACCACGGCCGGAUCAGACUUGUUCCCUACAAAGGGGAUUUCUCAUGAGAGCCAGUCACACGAGGGCAGAGACUUUGGUUAUCCUCGCCCUGGUAGCUUCAGCAUCUGCGCUGCAUGUGGUAGGAGGCUUGAUCACUUCUGAACAAACACACCAAUGAGUAAAUGAACGAGCGGCCUCACAGAGCAGCGAUGGGGACUUUCUGAUGAAGACCAGGUUUUCAGACGGCGGGAGGCCUUGGCUUUGAGGUGUCAGGAUGUUUUCAGACUCGAUGAUCCCAAAAGUGAUCCCAUUAGAAGAAGAAGGAAAAAAAAAUAAAAAAGAAAGAAACAACCUCCGCCCCUGCAACCUCUUAAACGGCCCACAACAUCUGAAUCGGAAGGUCCGUUCAUGCUGAUUUUCUACGUGUCAGGAAUUUCAUGCCAAAAAGCGACUCUUCUACAUUAAUAACGCAUCUCCCCAUCCAAGACAGGAAAUAACAUUACAAAAGCCGGAAAGGACAUCAAACGCGCUGGCUUGGCAGCCACAUGUAUAUGUGAAAUUACUGUCAGAGUUCAAAGGCAGGGCUGAGACAUGGAGGGUGCGUGCGGCAGUGUUACCCCAUGAUGCUUUUACCUCGUGGGAAUAAGCACAGUGGCAGGUUACUGUGACCUGGCCACUGGCUUCCUGAUACCCACAUUGAUUCUGGCACGUGGGACUGCAGGGCUGGAUUUGGGUGGGCUUUGCAGCUCCCCAUACAUCCUACCCCAGCUCAAGAGCCUCACACGUAAAGCAACCUUUCCAGGUUUGGGCAGCCCGGACCAGUGCCUGCACCCAGGGCUGGCCAAUGCUGCAGAGCUGGCUCUUACUGAGCACUGCACUAAUUAUUAAAGCAUUGCCUCAGGACUCUUGCACAACCUUGAGAAGUAGGAGCUAUCAUGCCCCCUAAUUCAUGGAUGGGGAAUUGAAGAUGAAUUGAGGUUACUUGAUGUGCCCAUUGCAUGGAGGAAGUGGAGGAACCAAGGUUCAAGCCCAAAGAUUCCAUCACUCACAACUACCAGGCUUCACUGCUUCAAUGUGGAAGCUUCCUUGGGAGAUGCAGCCAACCACGCCCAGGCAAGGUUGGACCUGAAGGUGUGAAGAGCUCACCUUUCUGGUUAAGGCAAGUCACUGAGCCCCAUUUGGAGAUGGAGUUUGCAUCAAUCUUCAUGGCAAGAGGGAUCAUGACAUGAAUGAGAGGGCAGCAAUUUGACCAAAGGCUCUUCUAGCUAGACAGGUAACUUGGUUUAUCCUCCUGACUCAUUAAACUGCCUGGUGAACUCCUAUGCAUUCUUCAAAACCCAGUUUAAACAUUCCUUUCACCAUGAAGAUUUCCUUGCCCCAUAAAAAGUCAAUCAACUCUUUCUUUGGGCCCCUGAAGUGUAUGUGUUGUGAGUGCUUCUGUCUUGACACAGACUGCUUUGCCUUGAAUGUGUGCAGCUCGCUGUCUGUAUAGUACAUUCAUCAAGGACAGGAAUUGUGUUCAAUGUGCCUGUGGACACCAGCUUGGAUUAACAGGAACAACGCUAGUAACACCCAGCGCUAGUUAAUCACGUACUCUGUGCUGCGCACUCCUCUAACGGGGUCAUGGGCUCUAAUCCUUAAAACACCGUAGGAGGCUGCUGUGAUUAUUAUUCCCAAUGGCGAGGCGUGUAGGCUCUGAAGCCAGGCCACCUGGGUUUGAACCCUGGCUCUGCCUGUGACCUUGAGUGAGUUACUCAGCCUCUCUGUGUCUCGGGAUUCUCAGUGACAUAGGGAUCAUCACAGCAGUCACCCAGUGAGGGCUGGAGCCAACUCCGGCAAGAGCUAACUAUUAAAGCUUAAAGAAUUUUGCCAUCGUUAAACAUUACAUUAUGCACACUUAGAGUGGAGUAAACUAUAUUUAAAACAAACGUAAUAAACACUCAAAAGUCAUCACUUCCUAAUUAUUUCCCCACAUUUUACUUUCCUCCCUGCCCUUAAGGAUACUCACGUUUCCACUUUGGUGGAAAUACGGAAUAACGAUGAGCUUGCACACUGCUUCCCAACUUUAUGUUCAAUGGCCUCACACUGGUUGAAAUGAGACGUAAGGAGGGGAUUUACACCAUGGAGACUGGCAAACGCUAUAACUCAGGGUUUUUUUAACCUUGGAAAACCACUUGUUAAGCAUUCCCCAGCACAGCGAUGUAACCACCUUAUAGCAAGCACACAGUAAGCUGUCAAUAUGCAUUAGCUACUAUUGCUAUUACUACGAAGAAGACAGAGCUUAAAUCACUCACCCAGGUUAUGAAAGAUCCAGGUAUGACCCCAGACAUGACAGCUCCCUAUCCCUUAACCAGCUUGAACUCAAGGCAGACCACAGAGGAGUGGCCAAGAAAUGUAUUUGGUUGAAUAAACAAACAUUGAAUUAGUAGAUCUCAAAUCUGCUGGCCGCAGAAGUGCCUGGGGAGCUUUGUAUGGACACAGAUUCCCACAGUAUCCCUUGUGGUAGGCUCCAGAGUGUGCAUUAGAGCGAGUGCGUCGGGUUCUGAUUCUGUCCCUCCCCAUAGCCCAGCCCCAUCCCUGUCUUGCUUGUUGCCCGCUUGUGACCCAUCUUCCACAUCUGCCUUCCUGCAUCCCUACGGGGGUGAGUGGGAACUGUGAGGUGGAGAACCGCAUAGGGCAGGGGCCCCUCUGUGCACAGGCCUUAACCAAGAGAGGGCUUGAAGACUGAACACCGUUGCAGGCAAAUUAGAAGAAAACCUGCCUCCUCCAGCAGACACUGACCGUGGUGUAUAGGCAGCCAAGAGAGGCCGCAGCUUACCUGGGCUCAGAGGCCUGCAUAUAUCUGAGUCCACGGUAACAAAAAACAGGCUGUGAGCGUGCACUGCACUUGCAAAUUCACAAAAUGCUGCCACAUUCCUUCUCCUUUCAUCUCACGAUAACCCCAUGAGAUCAGCAAUGGAUGCAUAAAAAUAAUCCCCCGUUUACAGAUGAGGAAACAUGUGACUCAUAUAGCUCAGAGCUGCUCAUGCCUGGAGCCUCAGGCUUCAAAGCUGUGUUUUUCCUUCAAAAGUGGGUGUGAGGGAGAGAAGUGGAGAAGAUGGGGGCCGGAGUCCCGGAAAGUCAACGUUUAUGCAUUAUGUUGGCUUUGCUACCCACUAGCUGUGUGACCCUGGAAAAGCUUCUUAAUUUCUCUGUGCCUUAAGUUUGCACCUUUGAAAAACCUAAGAAAAUGAUUGGCAGCCUCCUCUUAUGGUUGUGGUGAAUUAAUAGAUGUAAAAAUGCCUCUUAGAAUGUUGCACUGGGUGGGGUUCAAUAAUGGAAUAGACAGGAACCACAGCAACAGCUAUAAUGAUAUUGUUGCCUUUAUAUAUCUUGUGGCAUUUCCGGGCUAUUAUUUUUAAAAGGCAGGCUAUUGAGCUAUCUGGGAUAGAUCAAGUGACGGAUACGUAGAUGGGAAGUCAAGGAGCUCUAGACUGGAAGUUGGGGACCAUGGAUUGAAGACCUCAUCCAGUCAACAGGUAUUUCCUGGACACAUACGAUGUGUCCAGUCCUCUGAAGGUCCCCUCUGACAAAGUGGCUGCAUGGAGCAAUAGCUACGACUGUGACCCCAGGGCCACACAGACAGGGUCUAUGUCUGCAGCUGAUGGGCUCACGGCCUUGCUCUAGUCCCUUAUCUCCCUGCAUCUGUCGUCCCGUCUGUAAAAUAGAAUGAAUCAGAAAAUAAACAGCAUCUCUCUGACUCAGUGGCUGCAUGGAGCAAUAGGUAAGAGUGUGACCCCAGGGCCACACAGACAGGGUCUACAUCUGCAACUGAUGGGCUCACAGCCUUGCUCUAGCCCCUUGUCUAUCUGUAUCUGUCAUCCAAUCUGUAAAACAGAAUGAAUCAG
rnacentral:lncRNA from 1 species